rnacentral:rRNA from 1 species
UUAGAGUUUGAUCCUGGCUCAGGACGAACGCUGGCGGCGUGCUUAACACAUGCAAGUCGAGCGAGGCCCUCUCUUCGGAGGGGUGUUCUAGCGGCGAACGGGUGAGUAACACGUGGGCAACCUGCCCCUGGCUCUGGGAUAACUCCAAGAAAUUGGGGCUAAUACCGGAUAUGACCGCUGACCGCAUGGUCUGGUGGUGGAAAGAUUUAUCGGCUGGGGAUGGGCCCGCGGCCUAUCAGCUUGUUGGUGGGGUAGUGGCCUACCAAGGCGACGACGGGUAGCCGGCCUGAGAGGGUGACCGGCCACACUGGGACUGAGACACGGCCCAGACUCCUACGGGAGGCAGCAGUGGGGAAUAUUGCGCAAUGGGCGAAAGCCUGACGCAGCGACGCCGCGUGGGGGAUGACGGCCUUCGGGUUGUAAACCUCUUUCAGCAGGGACGAAGCGAAAGUGACGGUACCUGCAGAAGAAGCACCGGCCAACUACGUGCCAGCAGCCGCGGUACGC